rnacentral:rRNA from 1 species
UACGUAGGGUCCGAGCGUUGUCCGGAAUUACUGGGCGUAAAGAGCUCGUAGGUGGUUUGUCGCGUUGUUCGUGAAAACUCACAGCUCAACUGUGGGCGUGCGGGCGAUACGGGCAGACUAGAGUACUGCAGGGGAGACUGGAAUUCCUGGUGUAGCGGUGAAAUGCGCAGAUAUCAGGAGGAACACCGGUGGCGAAGGCGGGUCUCUGGGCCGAUACUGACGCUGAGGAGCGAAAGCUAGGGGAGCAAACAGG